GUGUCAGCAGCCGCGGUAAUACGUAGGUGGCAAGCGUUGUCCGGAAUUAUUGGGCGUAAAGCGCGCGCAGGUGGUUCCUUAAGUCUGAUGUGAGAGCCCACGGCUCAACCGUGGAGGGUCAUUGGAAACUGGGGAACUUGAGUGCAGAAGAGGAUAGUGGAAUUCCAAGUGUAGCGGUGAAAUGCGUAGAGAUUUGGAGGAACACCAGUGGCGAAGGCGGCUAUCUGGUCUGUAACUGACACUGAGGCGCGAAAGCGUGGGGAGCAAACAGGAUUAGAUACCCCGGUAGUUC
rnacentral:rRNA from 1 species